rnacentral:misc_RNA from 1 species
AAGUCGUAACAAGGUUUCCGUAGGUGAACCUGCGGAAGGAUCAUUAUUGAUUCCAAAAGAAGAGGAGCUUUGCAAAAAGCUCUUCCUUCUUUUCUGUGAACUGGAGUGUUCUGCUUGCUUCUCAUUUAUUUGGGAAAAGAGCAGAGCGCUUGCAUUCUUUUCUUGUCAUUUUUUUUCUUGCCUUUAAGGUAAAAAAAAAUCAAAGACAACUUUCAGCAAUGGAUCUCUUGGCUCUU